UGUCCCAUUGCACUCUGAUUUCCCCAAGGCUGUCCCAUUGCACUCUGAUGUCCCCAAGGCUGUCCCAUUGCACUCUGAUUUCCCCAAGGCUGUCCCAUUGCACUCUGAUUUCCCCAAGGCUGUCCCAUUGAACUCUGAUUUCCCUAAGGCUGUCCCAUUGCACUCUGAUUUCCCCAAGGCUGUCCCAUUGCACUCUGAUUUCCCUAAGGCUGUCCCAUUGAACUCUGAUUUCCCCAAGGCUGUCCCAUUGUCUUUUAUCUAUGAUCAGAUGUUUCCCUCCACCACGUCCACAUGUGUUUUUGACUGGUUCACCAUCAGGUUUGAACUCAACACCGCCCAUCCAGAUAAGAAAUGGUCUCUCUCUGUGUGUGUGUGUGAGUAUGUGUGUGCAUCCGUGUGAGUAUGCAUAGAGACAGCGCAAAACAUUUCAAUCCAAUAGAAGGGGCAAUGCAAAUAGUGCAUUUUGUUAGCUAUUUAGCAGUCUGUU
ensembl:lncRNA